rnacentral:tRNA from 1 species
GUUUUAGUAGUUGAAGUACAACGAUGGUUUUUCGGACCGGUGGUCCUGGUGCUAGGCCAGGUUAGAACG